UUGUAAAGGAAAAAGAAUAUAUCGAUGAGCUUCUUCGGUGCUCGAAAUUUAUUUAUAGCCAACAUAAUCAUCUAAUUUUUAAUUAUUUGGAAUAAUGAUUCAACAGAGUGAAAAAUAACAAUCCCAUCGACGAGGUCACUUUGUAAUUUUAAAAGUAAAUACACUUGGGGACAUCAAGCGGUGGGAACUCACAUCUAUAAAUAAUAAGGUCUAGAGGUCAAACCCUGCCCUUCUCCUUCCCCAAGUAAAAAAAAAAAAUAUAAAAAAA
rnacentral:lncRNA from 1 species